UUAAUUUAAUAGCUCCAAUAGCCCUGUUUAGUAUUCUAUCCUUGCAUGUCAUUGUUUGAGUUUCACCAUCUAGAUCCAUUUACGAGCUGCAUGGAUUUCUUGCCACAAUUCUUAAAAUAUUUUCUGGGCUAUGCUGGUAGCUUGCCUGAGCACCUUUCAUGAAAACGAUUGAUAGUUUUCAGACUGUUGUGGAAAUGCAACUGAUAUUUAUUAAACCUUUUUUUGUCCUUGGGUGGUAUUAACUGAUAUUUGUUUGAGUUUCACCAUCUAGAUCCAUUUACGAGCUGCAUGGAUUUCUUGCCACAAUUCUUAAAAUAUUUUCUGGGCUAUGCUGGUAGCUUGCCUGAGCACCUUUCAUGAAAACGAUUGAUAGUUUUCAGACUUGUGUGGAAAUGUAACUGAUAUUUAUUAAACCUUUUUUUGUCCUUGGGUGGUAUUAACUGAUAUUUGUUUGAGUUUCACCAUCUAGAUCCAUUUACGAGCUGCAUGGAUUUCUUGCCACAAUUCUUAAAAUAUUUUCUGGGCUAUGCUCUGGUAGCUUGCCUGAGCACCUUUCAUGAAAACUAUUGAUAGUUUUCAGACUGUUGUGAAAAUGUAACUGAUAUUUAUUAAACCUUUUUUUGUCCUUGGGUGGUUUUCCAUUCAAUCCUGGCAUUAGGUGAAUUUAUAUAUGUGGAAAAGUAAGGGAUGGCCACAGAUGGGACAGUAGAUAAUACAAGUAACUUUU
rnacentral:lncRNA from 1 species